GUUGAAGUGCAGUAUGCCAGUUUUAGUAGUAAAACUCUAAACUGAGUCUUUCUUUUUUCUUUUUUUCAGAUGCAGUUUCUCUUCGUGUUGUUCCAAACAGAUUGCAGUUCUUUGAAUAUGAAUCAGUAGCAUUUUACUGUGAAGGAGUCGAUUAUUGUGAAGUUGUGCAUAAAAUUAAAGGGAAAGUAGAAUCAUGUAGUAAAACUAACAAGAGGACACCAACAGGAUCAUCCUGCUCCAUUAAAAUUGUUUAUACAUACAACAGUGGAGAGUACUGGUAUGAGACUGAAGGAGGGAGAAGAAGCAACAGCAUCAACAUCUCUGUCACUGAAGCUCCACAGGAAGCAUGACCAUCCAGAGAGUUUCCAAGUCAGAUGAAGGACUUUACAAGUGUAGCAUCUCAGGAGCUGGAGAAUCACCAGAGAGCUGGCUGAACGUCACAG
ensembl:lncRNA